CAUCGGUUAUGUUUAGUUCACUGGAGCAUAUUUUUAACUUCAGUGGCAGGGAUCAGAGCCCUUUCUCUACGUGCUGCUCUUAGCGGACUCGACGAAAGCUUGGAACAUCACUGGAAGCCGUAGUGCAAAGCAGAGCCCCAAGGCAUGAGGAUGGCCAGCCCUAAAGCCACUGGGCUGUCCUGGGAGAUCACUUGGCUUGCUUUUGCUCUCUAUGCUCAUCUACAGACACGAGCAGAGCAGUCCCAAGGUGCAUACUUCUUGCCUGAGUUUGCACUUUCUCCACAGGGGAGUUUUCUUGAGGAUACCACGGGGGAACAGUUCCUCACCUACCGUUAUGAUGACCAGAACACCAGAACUG